rnacentral:rRNA from 1 species
GAUGAACGCUAGCGAUAGGCCUAACACAUGCAAGUCGAGCGGAUGAGUGGAGCUUGCUCCAUGAUUCAGCGGCGGACGGGUGAGUAAUGCCUAGGAAUCUGCCUGGUAGUGGGGGACAACGUUUCGAAAGGAACGCUAAUACCGCAUACGUCCUGAGGGAGAAAGCGGGGGAUCUUCGGACCUCGCGCGAUUGGAGCGGCCGAUGUCGGAUUAGCUAGUUGGUGGGGUAAAAGCCCACCAAGGCGACGAUCCGUAGCGGGUCUGAGAGGAUGAUCCGCCACACUGGGACUGAGACACGGCCCAGACUCCUACGGGAGGCAGCAGUGGGGAAUUUUGGACAAUGGGGGCAACCCUGAACCAGCCACGUCGCGUGAAGGAAGACGGCCCUACGGGUUGUAAACUUCUUUUAUACGGGAAUAAAGUGCCCCACGCGUGGGGUUUUGCAUGUACCGUAUGAAUAAGGAUCGGCUAACUCCGUG